UACGGGGGGGGCAAGCGUUGUUCGGAAUUACUGGGCGUAAAGGGCUCGUAGGUGGCCAAUUAAGUCAGACGUGAAAUCCCCAGGCUUAACCUGGGAACUGCGUCUGAUACUGGAUGGCUUGAGAUUGGGAGAGGGAUGCGGAAUUCCAGGUGUAGCGGUGAAAUGCGUAGAUAUCUGAAGGAACAUCAGUGGCGAAAGCGGCUCACUGGCCCGGUACUGACGCUGAGGCGCGAAAGCGUGGGGA
rnacentral:rRNA from 1 species